rnacentral:rRNA from 1 species
AAUAGAUACCCCGGUAGUCCACGCCGUAAACGAUGAAUACUAGGUGUGGGGGUUUCAACACCUCCGUGCCGCCGCUAACGCAUUAAGUAUUCCGCCUGGGGAGUACGGUCGCAAGAUUAAAACUCAAAGGAAUUGACGGGGACCCGCACAAGUAGCGGAGCAUGUGGUUUAAUUCGAAGCAACGCGAAGAACCUUACCUACGCUUGACAUCCCUUGCAUUACUCUUAAUCGAGGAAAUCCCUUCGGGGACAAGGUGACAGGUGGUGCAUGGUUGUCGUCAGCUCGUGUCGUGAGAUGUUGGGUUAAGUCCCGCAACGAGCGCAACCCUUGUCGUUAGUUACUACCAUUAAGUUGAGGACUCUAGCGAGACUGCCUGGGUUAACCAGGAGGAAGGUGGGGAUGACGUCAAAUCAUCGUGCCCCUUAUGUGUAGGGCUACACACGUGCUACAAUGGCUGGUACAGAGAGAUGCAAUACCGCGAGGUGGAGACCAAAACCUUAAAAACCAGUCUCAGUUCGGAUUGUAGGCUGAAACUCGCCUACAUGAAGCUGGAGUUAC